AUUGAACGCUGGCGGCAUGCCUUACACAUGCAAGUCGAACGGCAGCACGGGGCAACCUGGUGGCGAGUGGCGAACGGGUGAGUAAUGCAUCGGAACGUGCCAUUGAGUGGGGGAUAACGUAGCGAAAGUUGCGCUAAUACCGCAUAUUCUGUGAGCAGGAAAGCAGGGGACCGCAAGGCCUUGCGUUCUUUGAGCGGCCGAUGUCAGAUUAGCUAGUUGGUGAGGUAACGGCUUACCAAGGCGACGAUCUGUAGCGGGUCUGAGAGGAUGAUCCGCCACACUGGAACUGAGACACGGUCCAGACUCCUACGGGAGGCAGCAGUGGGGAAUUUUGGACAAUGGGCGCAAGCCUGAUCCAGCCAUGCCGCGUGAGUGAAGAAGGCCU
rnacentral:rRNA from 1 species